UGGCGCCGUGCCAUCCAAUCCUCAACUAUACGCUAGACACUGGCUCCUCCGUAACCUAACACAUGCCCAGACGAAUAUAGUCGUAAAAGAUCGAUUCUCCUUCCAAAGAUUGUUACACCAUAGAUAUCAUUUUUGAGGAAGGCAUCUCCGCUUCAAAUGUAAUUUUCAAACAUGGCCAUAGUACUUCACAUUUUCGCACUUAUUACUUUGAUACAUAAUUACGAUGUUUUCUAGACGUAGUCAUCUAAAAUGAACAUAAUUUUUUAUUUUAAUUUAUGCUAUAUGGAUAAAUCUUUGAAAUAUUAAACAAAGAAA